GUGCUUGCUGUGGCAGCGCAUAUACUGAAAUAGGAACAGUACAGAUGAGAUUAGCACGGCCCCUGUGCGAGGAUGACAUGCAAAUUUGUGAAGCGUUCCAUUUUUAA
ensembl:snRNA U6 U6 spliceosomal RNA